UUGAGUUCUCUCCUAGUAAUCAGGCUGGAGUGAAGAACAGACCCAGUGAUGAUAUAUACUGUACUUGAAUGAGCUGGUGAAGGAACUAGAACACACCAUGAGAGUGGACACCAGAGAGCAACCAUUCUGUCAGACCUACGUAGCUAAAGCAAGACUGCUUAUACAUACCUAGUUUGAGUGAAUACCAUUACAAGACCCUGGACUGAAACAAGUUGAGUUAUGCUGAUAUGUUGAAGAGAGUUGAUCUGCUACGUAAAGAAUUGAAAGAUUUGGAAACCAAAGCUGAGGACACUCGUCAAAAAGGAGAAGAAAUAACAAAAAUAAUGGCAGAACUUGAAGCCUCUAUAGCAAA